GAUGAAGAACGUAGCGAAAUGCGAUAAGUAAUGGGAAUUGCAGAAUUCAGUGAAUCAUCGAAUCUUUGAACGCACAUUGCGCCCCUUGGUAUUCCAUGGGGCAUGCCUGUUCGAGCGUCAUUUGUACCUUCAAGCUUUGCUUGGUGUUGGGUGUUUGUCUCGCCUUUGCGUGUAGACUCGCCUUAAAAUAAUUGGCAGCCGGCGUAUUGAUUUCGGAGCGCAGUACAUCUCGCGCUUUGCACUCAUAACGACAGCGUCCAAAAGUACAUUUUACACUCUUGACCUCGGAUCAGGUAGGGAUACCCGCUGAACUUAAGCAUAUCAAUAAGCGGAGGA
rnacentral:misc_RNA from 1 species